rnacentral:rRNA from 1 species
UACGAAGGGGGCUAGCGUUGCUCGGAAUCACUGGGCGUAAAGCGCACGUAGGCGGCUUUCUAAGUCAGGGGUGAAAUCCUGGAGCUCAACUCCAGAACUGCCUUUGAUACUGGGAAGCUCGAGUCCGGAAGAGGUGAGUGGAACUCCGAGUGUAGAGGUGAAAUUCGUAGAUAUUCGGAAGAACACCAGUGGCGAAGGCGGCUCACUGGUCCGGUACUGACGCUGAGGUGCGAAAGCGUGGGGAGCGAACCGG